GGGUUGUGAGGUUAAGCGACUAAGCGUACACGGUGGAUGCCCUGGCAGUCAGAGGCGAUGAAGGGCGUGCUAAUCUGCGAUAAGCGCCGGUAAGGUGAUAUGAACCGUUAUAACCGGCGAUACCCGAAUGGGGAAACCCAGUGUGAUUCGUCACACUAUCAUUAACUGAAUCCAUAGGUUAAUGAGGCGAACCGGGGGAACUGAAACAUCUAAGUACCCCGAGGAAAAGAAAUCAACCGAGAUUCCCCCAGUAGCGGCGAGCGAACGGGGAGGAGCCCAGAGCCUGAAUCAGCAUGUGUGUUAGUGGAAGCGUCUGGAAAGGCGCGCGAUAC
rnacentral:rRNA from 3 species